UCGUACAGAUCCAACGGCCCACACCCCCUCACCCUCUUCACCCACCCAACUCCUCUCUCUCCCCCGCGCAACGAACUCUAGCCCAUCCAGAUCGAGCACCCCUCCUCCUCCCUUCCAGAUCGCAGCCGCCACCUCCUACCCACCGUCCCACCCAUCCUCUGCACCUCCGCUCGUCGCGCCCUUCCUCCGCUGCUCCACCCCUCCAUCUCCUCGGUGCGCCGCAGUGCCCCUUCCUCCUCCUCCUCGGCGUGGCGUGGCGGCAAUGCCUCCGCCGGCCGCGGGGACGCGGUGCGCGCGAGGGUGGCGGGGGCAGCCACGCCGGUGACCAAGGCGACGGCGGCCGAGGGAUGCGGCAGGCAGGAGGCC
rnacentral:lncRNA from 1 species